ensembl:miRNA
GGACAUUAGGAGCAACCUCCUAGGGUUGUUGUGAGAAUUAAAUGAACUGCAGCAGCCUGAGGCAGGGCUGGGCAGAGACC